rnacentral:lncRNA from 1 species
GUGGGAAGCAGUGAUUGGCUCCUUUGGGCUGGAGUUCUUGGAGUAAGUGCUGAUAGUUUUGGGAAGAUUUAUCUGGAAGUGUAGCCCAGGGUCAUACUGCAGAGGCGAUGAGUUUCAGAGAAACACAAUUCUCCUCUUCUAUUUCCUGUAGGAUCCCAGGGUACGGCUGCAAAAGGAGUCUGAGAAGAUGACUUACUGAAAUCAAGGGCUUGGAUGCCCUUCUCCUUCUGCCCUUGGAUGUCAGAAUUCCAGUUCCUCUGGCUUUUGGACUGUAGGACUCACACCAGCAUUCCCUGUCCCUACCACCUCCACCACCCACCAGCUUUCAGGCCUUUGGCCUGAGACUGAGAGUUACACCAUCGGCUUCCUUGGUUCUGAGGCCUUCAUAUCCGGACUGAACCAUGCAACUGCCUUUCCUGGUUCUCCAGCUUGCAGUCGGCCUGUUGUGACACCUCUCAGCCUUCCUUACAAAGAGGCUAGAAAUCAAAAUUUGGCUCUACAGGCCCAUGAUAUUCCCUCUCUGAUCUACUUCUCUGGACAUCUGGGUUUCCUGUGGAUUGCGUUCAAUCAGCAAUGUUGAGGAAACUGAAUAAAGGAAAACAUGGACAACCUCAAAUGCAGAAACAUGACAUAUUUUCUCAUGAGGACAGCGUGGCCCAGGAGAAAGAGGU